rnacentral:rRNA from 1 species
GAUGAACGCUGGCGGCGUGCUUAACACAUGCAAGUCGAGCGAAGCGCUUUGGAAAGAUUCUUCGGAUGAUUUCCUUUGUGACUGAGCGGCGGACGGGUGAGUAACGCGUGGGUAACCUGCCUCAUACAGGGGGAUAACAGUUAGAAAUGACUGCUAAUACCGCAUAAGACCACGGUACCGCAUGGUACAGUGGCAAAAACUCCGGUGGUAUGAGAUGGACCCGCGUCUGAUUAGGUAGUUGGUGGGGUAACGGCCUACCAAGCCGACGAUCAGUAGCCGACCUGAGAGGGUGACCGGCCACAUUGGGACUGAGACACGGCCCAGACUCCUACGGGAGGCAGCAGUGGGGAAUAUUGCACAAUGGAGGAAACUCUGAUGCAGCGACGCCGCGUGAAGGAUGAAGUAUUUCGGUAUGUAAACUUCUAUCAGCAGGGAAGAAAAUGACGG